UACGAGGGGUGCAAGCGUUGCUCGGAAUUAUUGGGCGUAAAGGGUAGGUAGGUGGUCUCAUUUGUCUGGGGUGAAAGCCUUGAGCUUAACUCAAGAAGUGCCCCGGAAACGGUGAGACUCGAGUCCUGGAGAGGGUCGUGGAAUUCCCGGUGUAGCGGUGAAAUGCGUAGAGAUCGGGAGGAACACCAGAGGCGAAGGCGGCGACCUGGACGC
rnacentral:rRNA from 1 species